rnacentral:lncRNA from 1 species
UAUAUAUUUUCAUUUUUAUUCAGCAUUUGGGUUGAUGAACUAAACCAGAUAGUUAUAUGAGUGAAAGAAAAAGGCUUCUAAAUUUGCAGUAAAAAGGUCGAGUCUCAUUUCCUAUGUACAAGAAUCAAAUGGUGAAAAAAGUAAACAUAAGCAAUAAAGAUUGUUUACCCAAAUAUUGGUGAAUUGUCAUGAUAGCUUGAAGCGGGUUCAAAAGAUCAAAUGUGUGGAGUUUUUACUAUCUUUUACCAUAGAUGGAUUUCCACAACGGGAGGUUGAAAGCAAAAAUGAGUGGAUGGUUAGGAAGACCAAGAUACACAAAGGAUUAGUAAUUGAGAUUAUGUAAGUUAUAUGAGUGAAAGAAAAAGGCUUCUAAAUUUGCAGUAAAAAGGUCGAGUCUCAUUUCCUAUGUACAAGAAUCAAAUGGUGAAAAAAGUAAACAUAAGCAAUAAAGAUUGUUUACCCAAAUAUUGGUGAAUUGUCAUGAUAGC